ensembl:lncRNA
GCUGAAGUCUGACAUUGGCUUGAAUCGCACAGUCAGAUCCAAACUUUUAAACAAACCACUGUGCAGAUAUUAACUUCCCCGGGCUCCUGAGAACACAAUCCAGACCUGCUGGACGUGAGGCGAGAUCCCGUAUCUGGAGGCAGAGACGACUUGGGACUGCAGAGUGCACUCAGACACUGAGUUGACCAGCGGUCCCCGCCAGCCCCGAGCUGAGUCCACUCUCUGGCUCUUUCGCCUCCAUGACCUUCCCCAGGAGAAAAAAACAAUUCCUGCCUUUAAUAUUCACAUCAGCUUCUGUGGGUCAUAAGACAAGGGCAGUCUGAGUUUUCAGGAUCUUCACAGGCCCGGAGCAUCAUCUUCUAUUGAUUCUUGUAAGAGCAGAUGACGGCAGCUCAAGAAGAAACAGCUUUGAAUCCUGCUCCAGCAGUCAGAUCAGGCUACCAGGAAAGAGAAAAAUAAGUGAAAACCUGUUUUCAUUGCCUCCUGGACCAAAGUGGGAGAGAGGAAGAGAGGCCCACCAGAGGGCUCCAGAAUCACUGCAGAUGGUGACUGCAGCCAUGAAAUUAAAAGACGCUUACUCCUUGGAAGGAAAGUUAUGACCAACCUAGACAGCAUAUUCAAAAGCAGAGACAUUACUUUACCAACAAAGAUCCGUCUAGCCAAGGCUGUGGUUUUUCCAGUAGUCAUGUAUGGAUGUGAGAGUUGGACUCUAAAGAAAGCUGAGUGCUGAAGAAUUGAUGCUUUUGAACUGUGUUAGAGAAGACUCUUGAGAGUCCCUUGGACUGCAAGGAGAUCCAACCAGUCCAUCCUAAAGGAAAUCAUUCCUGAAUAUUCAUUGGAAGGACUGAUGCUGAAGCUGGAACUCCAAUCCUUUGACCACCUGCUGGGAAGAGCUGACUCAUUGGAACAGACCCUGAUUCUGGGAAAGACUGAAGGCAGGAGGAGAAGGGGGCGACAGAGGAUGAGAUGGUUGGAUGGCAUCACCUAAUUGAUGGACAUGAAUUUGGUUGGAGGAAAAUUGCUUUAUGAUGUUGGUUUGUUUUCUGCCGUAAAAUGACACAUAUCAGCCAUAAAUAUAUGUGCAUCCCCAUGGAAUUUUAAUUUCUCACACAAUUUUUCAGAUACUAGGAGAAGAGGAAACAGCAUAACUCAUCUUUUAUGCAAAUAAAAUCUUGAAGUCAAAAGCAGAUGAAGAUGAGAUGAGAAAGGAAGCUUCAGGCCAGAGGAGUGAGUCACACUGAGAACUGAUGUGUGUCCAUGCAGAGGUUGAAUUCCAUGGUGACCUUGCCUUUCAACUAAAAUCAAGCCAUGCUGCUGCUGAGUCGCUUCAGUCGUGUCCGACUCUGUGCGACCCCAUAGACGGCAGCCCACCAGGCUCCCCCAGCCCUGGGAUUCUCCAGGCAAGAACACUGGAGUGGGUUGCAAUUUCCUUCUCCAGUAAAUCAAGCCAUAUUUUACAUUAAAAUCUUUCUCAUCCUUCCCCUUUUACAUUGUGAUUUAUGGUAAGACCCUUCCAUUAACACCUGAUAAACU